CGCCUCAACGUGAUCCCGUGUACGUGGUAGUCGUCCGUGCGCGUCGUGCCGGCGUUUCAAUCGUUCCUUCCGUAGUUUGUGGAUACUGAAUUUUUAUUUUUUUUUUUGUUUAAACAAAAAUUUUUUGAAGUGGUUUUCAGAUGAGUUAGUGUUGCAGUGGGUUCGUUCGUGGAUGUUCAGGUUGUGGCUGAAAGGGGUGACCGUGGAACAUCAUUCGGGGGAUUUUUUCAACCUGGUGAGCACCCCCGUCCACUUCCACUUAAAGUUGGCAAAAAAUUUUGGGUUUGACGUGGACUAAUUUAUGUUUUAUGAUGUUCGAGCGAAUUGGCGGUGGUUGUAUCAAUCGUAUCAAAUGACACAGUGACCGAAGAAGACGUCCAGCAUGAUGUGCGAGUCGGACUAUGGUUACCAGAACACGUACCUGCGCAGGGUGUCGCCGCCCGGCAGUCCAGCCCUGACCAAGAAAUGCUGCUGCUACGACAAGAAGGAGACGAGGGAGUCGAGUAGGGACACGGUGUUCUGCUGUUGCUACACCUACCCCGGCUCCAGGAGCACCUCCAUCCUCGCCACGUUGGGCGUUUGCUGUCUGGUGCUGACCUACACCAUCAUCGGGGCGUUCAUCUUCAUGGCCCUGGAGGGCGGUCUGUAUCGCGAGACCGAGUCUGUAGCCAGCUCCAAAAUCGACCCGAAAUUCAAAGACAACAAGGCCAUCGGGGAUCUGCGUACCGAAACGGUGGACCGUCUGUGGAGCAUCACCGAGAACCUCAACAUCUUGUACAGGGAGAACUGGACCAGACUGGCGGCCGAGGAGGUGCUGAUAUUCCAAGACGCCCUCUUCAAGGCGCUGAAGAAGAGCGACGUGGUGUACAGCGCGAGGACGGGGACGAUGAGCGGAAGUCACAGCGGACACAAAUGGAAUUUCAGCUCCAGUUUUCUCUACAGUCUGACCCUGAUAACGACAAUAGGUUAUGGGUCGGUGUCGCCCAGGACGUCGUGGGGGAAACUGGUGACCAUCAUCUACGCCCUGAUCGGCAUUCCUUUGAUGUUGCUGUACCUGUCAACCACUGGGGACUUGUUGGCCAGGAGCUUUAGGAAGCUGUACGGCAAAAUAUGUGGCAUCCAGCCCCAGAGGGAGGCCUCCCACUGUCCCUGUGCCAAUCCGGUGCGUGUGCCGGUGUUUCUGUGUCUGAUCAUAGUGUUGGCCUACAUUUGUUCCGGGGCCUUGCUGUUCCACCGACUGGAGAACUGGUCCUUGCUGGAAGGGAGCUACUUCUGCUUCACCAGCUUGGGCACCAUAGGAUUCGGCGACCUCCUCCCCGGCCAGAAGGCCGAAGACAUAUCAUUGUGUGCGUGUUCAGCCUACAUACUCACAGGCAUGGCGUUGGUGGCCAUGUGCUUCAGCCUGGUCCAGGACCAAGUGGUGAACUUGCUGAGGUACAUCGGAGCCAGUUGCUCCAGGAACGACACCAAGAAAAUCGACGAGGAGGGACGGAUUCAGGUUUGUCCAACAACGUUUUGUAAGUGGUUUCUUCAGGUUGUCGUUGCAGGGCUCUUGACAAAGACCAACAACGGAGGGGGCGGCUCCGAUUAAAUCUGCCCCGAUAUCCAGAAAGCCGACGCAGAUGCUGCAACACAACAGUCUACCCCGUAAAUCCAAUUUUCAGAGGAACACGCCGGCAAGGCGGUCUUGUGGGGCUGAGCCACUGAUAGAGUACUUCGUGCCCAGAAGUGUGAGCGAGUUCGACCUGAGCAUCACCUCGGGCGACACCCCGGUGGCCAGCAACUUCCUGCCCUUGACGGUGCGGGCGCCGAGGAAGAACCUGCAGAAGAAGCAGGAGAAGGUGGUCACCUUCGAGGACGAACUGUCCAAAAACGUUAAAAAAAACACCCAGAUGGAUUUCCAGGACGUGUUCAUGUGACAUAAGGCCUAGCAAUUACAGGGCUGCGCCGAGUCGGUGAUAAAGGACUUCCAGACCGUCAAGAAGGAGCUGAAGCAGUUCAAGAACUUCAAGCUGUGCGAAGACCUGAAGAAGUGCGACGACAAUUGUUCCUGUAAUGCGGAAUCCGACUGCGACAUAUGCAAAGUGCUCGACUUCACGUUGAAAAAGGACCAGUUAUAACGACGGAACGAACAAUAGAAUGAAUUGUCGGUUUUGUCGGUGAUGUUUGGAUGGAUCAAGGCCGGUUGGUUCGUUUGUUAAUUGAACACUGAUUACGCACAAUUUUCAAACCGUAGUUAUCUCGAUCAGUGUAUACGUUGUUUUUUAUUCUUGUGUACAGGAUGUUCAAUUCGUUUAUCUCAAUGACAUAUUGUCCACUAUAUUUUUCUUGAAUUAAUGUAAAUAUUCUUUUUUGUAAAAAAAACAUUGUAAGUGAUAAGAUAUGUGCCAUAAUCUUACGUAAACUAUUAUUAUUACACGAAUCGAACAUAUAUUAUUGAUUAGUAUUGUACAGUAUAGUUAAAUUUAUUGUAAAUAGUGUAAAUAGACUUCUGUAAAUUUCUUAAGUCAACAUUGAAAGAACCACUGUUUAUUCUCUUGUACAGUUCUUUUAAUGUUGAAUAUGGAUAUUCAAAUAAUUGAAGUUUGUUGUUUUAAUUUUUGUAAUUUUAACAAGUUAAGAACCAAUGUGUAAAAUAUUGAACUGUUUUCAAUAAAUAUUGUUUUCUUAUA